GGAGAGGUGCGAGAGUGGCCGAGUCGGCGUGCUUGGAAAGCACGUGUACUAGCAAUGGUACCGUGGGUUCGAAUCCCACCCUCUCCGCCA
rnacentral:tRNA from 1 species